UGAAGCAUUUUUAUUAAAUCUUCAGAGCUUUGCUGAAACUGAACAUCUCUAUUUGUAAAGCCUUGAAUACAUUGUUGACCGUGUUCAGGCCAGCCAAAGACAAAAUGGAGGGAUGAGAGGAGGAGAUGAAGUAAAACUGAGAAGGAACGAGCGAGGAGUUCAAGAUAGAAAAAGGAAAGCAGAGGUGAAUGGAGAGAUCGAGCAAGGGAUCAAUAGAAGGCGUGCAGAGGGACAAAGAAGCAGGAUCACCUGUCCUGAGCUGCAGUCUGCCGGCCCAGUGGAGCAGAGGGAGCGCUAUUAGUUUGAGACUUGUUGCACCAAAAUUUAAAAUGGCCCCUCUGGCCAGAAGUGCUGUGCCAUUGAACUGAAUGGCUCAGCGGUUACGCAACCAACUUGGCUAAUGUCAAUUUCCCUCACAUGUCAAAGAAGUCGGUGGCCCUCUCCUGGCCCCUUCGCCUUCACUCAACCCUCCUCCCCCCUGAUGUGAUUAUGGAGAUUCACUUUCCAGCAGCCUCAGGGUGAACACUGUGUGUGUGAGAGUGUGUGUGUGUAGGUGUGUGUGUGGUUGGCACAAGCGCCUAACUGAGCAUGUUACUGCAGUCUCAUUUAUUGUAACACAGAUACACUUCAUUUGACUUAACAUAGUUUGGUCUUUAUUCUGAUUAUUCGACAAAUAUUAAGGAAAUAAUGAAUAUGACAAAAGAAACCAAUAUCUUGGAGUUCACACUGAAUGUAUAUAAUUUACCAAAGCUGAAACACACAGUAGAUUGAAACUGAGACACAGAAUGAGCUAGUCAUCAUACAGGCCCAUUCAUUUAUCGAUAUGGCUAAUGAUGACGAGUGCUAAUCAGCAUCAGGCACUUUAUGGGCUAUGGAUGAGAGGAGCAGAUUGGGCAUCAGUGGGCGAUGGAAGAAGGCCAGCGGAGGUUGGCAUCACUCAGGAACAAGGCAUGCUGCGUCAACCUGCCACUUGCUGCUAUUCAUAUACUCACUGCAGACUGGGGUUCAAACAUAGAUGCAGUUUUGGAGGAUGAUGCAUUCAGAUUUUCUGACAACUUGUGCAUUUGCAUCCAAAUUAUUGUAAUCUGUUUCUCAAUUAAUCAACUCAUUUAGGCUGUAAAACAUGAAAUAGUGAAAAAUUUCCUGAAAAGCCCGAAGUGACGUCCUCAAAUGUCUUGUUUUGUCAUACCAACAGUCCAAAAAAGUUAUUCAAUGUACAAUGACAUAAAAUAUAGAAAAGCAGCAAAUCAUCUGAAGCCGAAAAUGCUGAGACAUUCAAUUUUGCUUUAGUGACUAAACUAUAUGUAACUUUGAAAGAAUAACAAAUUCAUUCCAGAUGAAAAGUUUAAUUAUAAGCAAUAAAACACUCCUUACUCAGUUCACUACACUCAGGGUUUGUGCUGCUACAGCUUGUUGUUGACCAGUAGUUUAGGUGGCUAUUAGUACACUUUAUAUAUGGUGGCUAAUGUUAGCCAUUGUUAGCAAACUUUAUAUGGUGGCUAAUGUUUGUUAAUGUUAUCAAUCUUCAGGUAUGGUGGCUACUGUUUAAUUAAUAAUGUUAGCUAACUUAAGAUAUGGUGGCUAAUGUUUUCUAAUGUCAGCAAACUUUAUGGUGGCUACUGUUUAAAAUGUUUUGCAAACUUUAGAUCUGGUGGUUGCUGUUCAAUUAAUAAUGUUAGCAAACUUUAGAAAUAGUAGUUACUUUUAAUAUAUGGUGGCUAAUGUUAGUUAAUUUUAGCAAACGUUAGAUUGCUGUUACUGACAUUACUGUUCCAGUUUACUUACUUUAUGACUCUUCUCUGAUUAUUACUAUUGUUACACAAUAUUUUAGCAUUUAGAAUUUUAUGUAAUUGUGACCAGGGACCCCCAGCCAGGAAAAGUAACUUAAAUUCCCUUAAAAUGACAAAUCAACAAUUUCUUUAAAUUAAGUUUCAAUUAAAGCUCUGAUUCUUUCAUAUUAACAUUUAAACAUGUUUUGAUUUAUUUUUCUUUUAUAUUGAUUUAUAUGUUGUUAGUGGAAAUACUUUUAGUUUAGUUUAACCUUCAUCUCAAGUUUUUUAAGUGGGUAACACAUAGUUCUAAAUACCAUUUAAAAAAAAUCAUGUAAUAGCCUAUAGGCCUAAACUAAAUAAACAGUUGCUUUUUAGGAUAAUAAACAAAAAUGCUAUUUUUGCCCCCAACUGCAUUCAUGCAGAAAAAAAUGGCAACAAAACAAAUCCAUACUAAAUACUGCUUGUUUUGUUGAAAAUGCAAGCAGGGAAAGGACAUUUAUAAAUAUAUAUAAAUGCGACCGCAGAGUGGGGACUGAGAGGGCUGAGUAAGAACACAAUGGUAUACCACACGGUCUCAACCACACUUCUGCAAAAAUAGAGCUUUUUCUUAAGUACAAGACACAGACAUUCCCCUGAAGCAUUCUUGGUCAUUGACACGUAAACAAACACAAACGCACACACACCGACCCUGACACACAUACACACACACAUAUCCAGAUGGAGGCUGACAGCAUGCUUUGGGCAAAUGGCUUCAAAUGAGGAACACAUGAGCCUCUCCCUGUGUGACGGCUUUCACAUGCUCCCACAACCUCACACACCUCCGGGGUGAGAGGAGAAUAGGCGAAUAGGUGACGGAUGUGUGAGCAUGAGUGUGUGUGUGGGAGAGAGAGAUAUGCAGGAGAAUCAGGACAAGAUGGAGAGUAGAAGAGAGAAGAAGACUUUUAGAAGAGAGGAAAUUAAAAAAGAGGAUUGUGGCAGUUUAUUUCCAACAAAACAAUUAAAGACAGUUUUCAGGGCAUGCAAGGACAGAAUCAUGAGUGUAAUAAAUGUUUAAAGAGGAGUAUAAGACAUCCUUUCAGAUUUGGCGGUUUGGAUUCCUCGCAUGCCAACUGAAAGCACUGCAAAACUCAUCGGAUUCAACCUGAAGAGUCACCCUGACACAGACUCUACUCCCAAAUAUGUCCCGUCAUAUUGUUGUUUUUGCCUGGGAUUAAAUAUGUAAUUGUAACAGCCAGAAAAAGACAAUGUACUAUUGAGGCCUGUGACUAAGUAUCUUAAAGUCCUCACAAUCUGAAAAACAUUUGCAGAAAACAAGAGUGCACAUUUUAAAAGUGAAUGUGUAAUACGUUGUGGUACAUUUUAAAUUGGCAGCUCC